GGGGAAUUUUGGACAAUGGGGGCAACCCUGAUCCAGCCAUUCCGCGUGAGUGAAGAAGGCCUUCGGGUUGUAAAGCUCUUUUGUCCGGAACGAAACGGUUACAGCGAAUACCUGUGACUACUGACGGUACCGGAAGCAUAAGCCCCGGCUAACUUCGUGCCAGCAGCCGCGGUAAGACGAAGGGGGCUAGCGUUGUUCGGAAUUACUGGGCGUAACGCGCGUGUAGGCGGUUGCCAAAGUCGGGUGUGAAAGCCUUGAGCUCAACUCAAGAAAUGCACUCGAUACUUGGUGACUAGAGGACCGGAGAGGAUAGUGGAAUUCCCAGUGUAGUGGUGAAAUACGUAGAGAUUGGGAAGAACACCAGUGGCGAAGGCGGCUAUCUGGACGGUUUCUGACGCUAAGACGCGAAAGCGUGGGGAGCAAA
rnacentral:rRNA from 1 species